GCAGUAGUAGUUCAGUGGUAGAACGCAAGCUUGCCAAGCUUGUAACCCGGGUUCGAGCCCCGGCUAUUGCA
rnacentral:tRNA from 1 species